rnacentral:rRNA from 1 species
ACUGCUCAGUAACACGUGGAUAACCUGCCCUUGGGUCCGGCAUAACCCCGGGAAACUGGGGAUAAUUCCGGAUAACGCACAUAUGCUGGAAUGCUUUAUGCGUAAAAUGGAUUCGUCUGCCCAAGGAUGGGUCUGCGGCCUAUCAGGUAGUAGUGGGUGUAAUGUACCUACUAGCCAACGACGGGUACGGGUUGUGAGAGCAAGAGCCCGGAGAUGGAUUCUGAGACAUGAAUCCAGGCCCUACGGGGCGCAGCAGGCGCGAAAACUUUACAAUGCGGGAAACCGUGAUAAGGGGACACCGAGUGCCAGCAUCAUAUGCUGGCUGUCCAGGUGUGUAAAAUACACCUGUCAGCAAGGGCCGGGCAAGACCGGUGCCAGCCGCCGCGGUAACACCGGCGGCCCGAGUGGUGAUCGUGAUUAUUGGGUCUAAAGGGUCCGUAGCCGGUUUGGUCAGUCCUCCGGGAAAUCUGACGGCUCAACCGUUAGGCUUUCGGGGGAUACUGCCAGGCUUGGAACCGGGAGAGGUAAGAGGUACUACAGGGGUAGGAGUGAAAUCUUGUAAUCCCUGUGAGACCACCUGUGGCGAAGGCGUCUUACCAGAACGGGUUCGACGGUGAGGGACGAAAGCUGGGGGCACGAACCGGAUUAGAUACCCGGGUAGUCCCAGCCGUAAACGAUGCUCGUUAGGUGUCAGGCAUGGCGCGACCGUGUCUGGUGCCGCAGGGAAGCCGUGAAGCGAGCCACCUGGGAAGUACGGCCGCAAGGCUGAAACUUAAAGGAAUUGGCGGGGGAGCAC